GACGAACGCUGGCGGCGUGCCUAAUACAUGCAAGUAGAACGCUGAAGGAGGAGCUUGCUCUUCUGGAUGAGUUGCGAACGGGUGAGUAACGCGUAGGUAACCUGCCUGGUAGCGGGGGAUAACUAUUGGAAACGAUAGCUAAUACCGCAUAACAGUAGAUGUUGCAUGACAUUUACUUAAAAGGUGCAAUUGCAUCACUACCAGAUGGACCUGCGUUGUAUUAGCUAGUUGGUGGGGUAACGGCUCACCAAGGCGACGAUACAUAGCCGACCUGAGAGGGUGAUCGGCCACACUGGGACUGAGACACGGCCCAGACUCCUACGGGAGGCAGCAGUAGGGAAUCUUCGGCAAUGGACGGAAGUCUGACCGAGCAACGCCGCGUGAGUGAAGAAGGUUUUCGGAUCGUAAAGCUCUGUUGUAAGAGAAGAACGAGUGUGAGAGUGGAAAGUUCACACUGUGACGGUAGCUUACCAGAAGGGGACGGCUAACUACGUG
rnacentral:rRNA from 1 species